CACGUAGGGUGCGAGCGUUGUCCGGAAUUAUUGGGCGUAAAGAGCUCGUAGGCGGUGUGUCGCGUCGGAUGUGAAAGCCCGGGGCUUAACUUCGGGUCUGCAUUCGGUACGGGCAUGCUGGAGUUCGGUAGGGGAGACUGGAAUUCCUGGUGUAGCGGUGAAAUGCGCAGAUAUCAGGAGGAACACCGGUGGCGAAGGCGGGUCUCUGGGCCGAUACUGACGCUGAGGAGCGAAAGCGUGGGGAGCGAACAGG
rnacentral:rRNA from 1 species